UCCGUAGCUAUAUUGAAGAACUUCAUUGGUNAUGGUGGCUGUCUGGUUUGUAACUGACGCUUAGGCUCUAAAGUAUGGGUAGCUAACAGGAUUAGAUACCCUGGUAGUCCAUACCGUAAACGAUGAAUGCUAAGUGUUGGAGGGUAUCCGCCCUUCAGUGCUGCAGCUAACGCAUUAAGCAUUCCGCCUGGGGAGUACGGCCGCAAGGCUGAAACUCAAAGGAAUUGACGGGGGCCCGCACAAGCGGUGGAGCAUGUGGUUUAAUUCGAAGCUACGCGAAGAACCUUACCAGGUCUUGACAUACUAUGCAAAUCUAAGAGAUUAGACGUUCCCUUCGGGGACAUGGAUACAGGUGGUGCAUGGUUGUCGUCAGCUCGUGUCGUGAGAUGUUGGGUUAAGUCCCGCAACGAGCGCAACCCUUAUUAUCAGUUGCCAGCAUUAAGUUGGGCACUCUGGUGAGACUGCCGGUGACAAACCGGAGGAAGGUGGGGAUGACGUCAAAUCAUCAUGCCCCUUAUGACCUGGGCUACACACGUGCUACAAUGGAUGGUACAACGAGUUGCGAACUCGCGAGAGUAAGCUAAUCUCUUAAAGCCAUUCUCAGUUCGGAUUGUAGGCUGCAACUCGCCUACAUGAAGUCGGAAUCGCUAGUAAUCGCGGAUCAGCAUGCCGCGGUGAAUACGUUCCCGGGCCUUGUACACACCGCCCGUCACACCAUGAGAGUUUGUAACACCCAAAGUCGGUGGGGUAACCUUUUAGGAACCAGCCGCCUAAGGACAGA
rnacentral:rRNA from 1 species